rnacentral:lncRNA from 1 species
AAGCAACCCUGUGUGCCCAUGUCCCCCCGACCCCAUGCACCCAACCUUAGCACACACCUGGCUCCUAGGGUCCGAGUGGUGAGAGUGCAGCCUCCUGAUGGAGUUCUCCCUGGUCAAAGUCAGCUCCUCCUCACUGGGAAAGACAACCCCUUGUCAGGAGUGGACAGCAGUGACAGCCUCCUGAAGUGAGUCUAGCCUUGGCUGAGCCUGUGUGAGACCGCUGAAGGGUAUGAUUGCCAAACUACACCCUCGAAGCUCAGGGCCACCCACUCAGAGGAGCCAGGACUCACUAUUUCUGGGUCAUCUGCUGGGCUUUGCGGCGAUGAUAUCGGGACAUGAGCACCACCACCACCACCAGGAGGCAGAACAGGAGAGCAGCGAUCACGCCCACUAUGAUCACUGAGGCGGACACCAGGUCCACCUGCUUUCCUGGAUCUUCGGGGUCUGUUGGAGACAGGCCAGUGUCUGAGAUACACGCCCAAAUCCUUCCCUGAUCCUCCCCAGACCCCAUUGCUACCCCACGUAUCCUCAUCAUGGGACAGACACAUCCACAGCUACCCACUCAGCUUAAUCCUUUCCAAAACAUAUCAUCCAUCCCAAAGACAUCAUUUCCCAUUCCUUUCUCCUUCUCCCAACCCCACCCCCCACCCCCCACCCCUCAGCUCUGGACUCAGAAUCCCUGUCUUUGUUCUCCAGCCACUGGGCUUACCAAGAACUUCCACAGUGACCUGAGAAUCCCUCGAAGAAAGCUCAUUGCUGACGUGACAGACGUAGACGCCACUGUGCUCAGUAGUCAGUGGGGGAAAGCCCAGAGUGUCUCCUUUCACUCGUACCCCACUAGGCAGAGGUCCAUCCAACCUGAAGGACAGGGAAGCUGAAGGGUGCUGGCUGGGGCAGGCUAAGGCUGCCACCACCCAACGUGCCCAGGCAGCUCUUCAUCCCCCUCCCCCAUGACGUCACCCAGAGCCUCAGGCUGUUCCCACGGUGCCCCUCCCUACCCCAGACAGGUCUAGGCAGAGGCCCUUUCUCCCUGCCGCCCAGCCUGACCCGGGCACCCCCACACACACUUGGGGGAAGAUCCGCACGCAUGCCAUCCCACAUGAUUCUACAGGCAUCCCGGUCAUCCAGCACCAGGUAACAGGUAUACAUGAUAUAAAGUGCACACAACAGGACAGUCCCACUCCUAGCUGGGCUUGGAGGUACUGGGAACCUGUGACUUCGUGCUCCAACACCUAUGAUAUUGCAUGGUGGAGUAAACAAACCUAGCCCCAGGCACAAGGCCAUUGGUAUCGUUCAUGUGUCCACAUGUAAGAACACGCCUGUCAUAGGUUCAUACACAUGGUUAUCCUACCCCUUUCUGAAAAGAAGGGCAAGGACUCUUGAAGGAGCUGCUGGAAGUGGGUCAGUGUUUCUGUGCUGCUGGCAACAUUAUGGUUAUAACGAGC